UGGGGAAUAUUGGACAAUGGGCGAAAGCCUGAUCCAGCCAUGCCGCGUGUGUGAAGAAGGCCUUUUGGUUGUAAAGCACUUUAAGUGAGGAGGAGGCUACUUAGAUUAAUACUCUAGGAUAGUGGACGUUACUCGCAGAAUAAGCACCGGCUAACUCUGUGCCAGCAGCCGCGGUAAUACAGAGGGUGCGAGCGUUAAUCGGAUUUACUGGGCGUAAAGCGUGCGUAGGCGGCUUUUUAAGUCGGAUGUGAAAUCCCUGAGCUUAACUUAGGAAUUGCAUUCGAUACUGGGAAGCUAGAGUAUGGGAGAGGAUGGUAGAAUUCCAGGUGUAGCGGUGAAAUGCGUAGAGAUCUGGAGGAAUACCGAUGGCGAAGGCAGCCAUCUGGCCUAAUACUGACGCUGAGGUACGAAAGCAUGGGGAGCAAACAGG
rnacentral:rRNA from 1 species